rnacentral:rRNA from 1 species
UGGGGAAUAUUGGGCAAUGGGAGGAAUCCUGACCCAGCGACGCCGCGUGAACGAAGAAGGCCUUCGGGUCGUAAAGUUCUUUUAUGUGGGAAGAAGUGAGUGACGGUACCACAUGAAUAAGCCCCGGCUAACUACGUGCCAGCAGCCGCGGUAAUACGUAGGGGGCGAGCGUUGUCCGGAAUUACUGGGCGUAAAGGGCACGCAGGCUGUGCUUCAAGUCAGCUGUUAAAGGAUGCGGCUUAACCGUGUUAUGCAGUUGAGACUGAGGUGCUGGAGUACCGGAGAGGCAAGUGGAAUUCCCAGUGUAGCGGUGAAAUGCGUAGAUAUUGGGAAGAACAUCGGUGGCGAAGGCGACUUGCUGGACGGUAACUGACGCUGAGGUGCGAAAGCCAGGGGAGCAAACGGG